UUCCUCAUGGAGGAGUUGCUCCAACCCCUUCAUCAUUUUAGUUGCCCUUCUUUGCACUUUUUCCGGCUCAGUAAUGUCCUUUUCAAGGUGCAGUGACCAGAACUGUACACAAUAUUCUAAGUAUGGUCCCACCAAAGAUUUGAAAAAGGGAAGUAUGUGCUUGGAAGUUUUAUUUUCAAUUACUUUUCUAAUUAUGUCUAACAUGGAAAUUUCCUUUAUCAGAGCAGCUGCACACUGGGCCAACAUUUUCAUUGAGCUGUUCACUACAACCCCAAGGUCCCUUUCUUGAUCAGUCACUGCUAGCUCUGAUCCCAUUGGCUUAAAUUUGAAGUUGGGAUUUUUACCUCAACAUGCAUUACUUUACAUUUGCUUACACUGAACUACUUUUGCCAUUGUGAUGUCCAUUCUUCUUGGUUUGGAAAGAUCCAUUUGGAGUUCCUCACAAGCCCUUUUAGUCUUACCCACCAUAAAUAAUUUGCUGUCAUCAGCAAAUUUGGCCACUUUACUGCUUACUCCUAAUUCCAGAUCAUUUAUGAAUAGGUUGAAGAACAUUGGUUCUAAUACAGGACUUGAUAAGUCCCCACUGGUGACUUUGCUUCAUUGGGAGGAAUUACUAUUUAUUCCUACUCUCUGCUUUCUGUUCUUUAACCAGUUAUUGAUUCAUGAGAGAGAGAACCCCUCUCUUCAUUCUGUGACUUUGAAAUUUGCUCAGGAAUCUUUGGUGAGGGACUUUGUCAAAAGCCUUUUAGAAGUCCAGGUAAACAGUGUCUACUGGAUCAUAUGCUAUUGACAGUCUCAGUAACUGUAAGAGGCUGAUGAGGCUGCACUUACUUUGUGGAAUUCAUGUUGAUUCUUUUCCCCUUGUCCCUCUGUGUGCUUACUGAUUAUGUCUUGCGUCUUACUUUCUACCAGUCCACCCUGAACAGAUGUUAAGCUAGGUGGCCAGUGAUUCCUCAGAUCUCCCUUGGAUCUCUUUUCAAAAAUUGAUGUUACAAUAGCCAUUCUCCAAUCUCCUGGUACAGUAUGUGAACAUUUGGCAGUGUGGUAUUUUAUAAUAACAGUCUGAAUAUUCAAGAACUGAAAUGGAUAUGAUUACUGUUUCACAAAUUACUUCAUUUCUCCUGUGGUGCCUGCAAAAACAAAUAAUGCCAGUCAUUUUACCUGGGAACAAUCUCAUCUUCAUCUUACUCUGUUACCUAUCACAACUGUUUUUUGUUUGUCUGUCUGCUUUUGUAAAAGACCUUAUUGGUAAAUAUGGGAGGUGAAGGAAAAGAGAUAGAGAUAGUUAUGGCUAGACUGUCAUUAAUAAAUUGAUUUUUUGUCUCAUGCCAUUGCCUUGCCAGAAAUGGAUUUUACAAGGAGAAUACAUAACCCAAGGGAGGCAAAAAGAGAACCUGUGAAAACCAAGCUGACUGUGCAAUAAUGUUUUUAUAAAUUGAUUACAUUAUGAAACCUCACCAACAAUGUUUCAGUGUAGUUACAAAGUGUUGUCAGUGUUUGGUGAUAACAUCAUGACAACCCUAAUUUUAGAGACAUGACUAACACAAUGAAGGGUUGUAUGUGACUGUUCCCAAACUGCUUUAAAGAUCAUGCAUUCCUUGUUCCAGUAGAUUUACUGGGUGCUGUUUUUUUCGGAAGCUGAAGGACACCUAGGCCAUGUCUUUAAUUUCUUUCCUCCUGUUAACAUCUGUAGUACUUUGUUGGGAACAGUAGGAGAGACAGAGCUCACUGUAUCUCAUCUGUCAAGGUGAAUGAGCAUCCAGGUCUCCAGGUGCACUUCUACUCUCCCUGAGCCAGCAGGGAAGGAAGGAUAAUUGGUGCUUGGCAAGGCACAUGUGACUGCAGAUAAGCACAGUUUCUGUUCAUGGCAGAACUGCUUUGGAGUAGUGACCCUUCCUUCCCUGUCUCCUUUCUCAGAACAGGAAAUUGGGAAGGAUAUUAAGACUAAGACUAUUGAAGGUGUAAGACAAUGGUAACUCAAAACUGGAGUGGAAGCAUUUGGACAAAGAUGAUCUCUGCUGCUAAUCUUCAGCUAAGGAUCUGUGUUCUUCCAGGUUGAGUAAGGAGGUAGCUUUGAUUUUUUCACUUUGAAACUUAAGGUCAAAAAAAAAGUUGAAGCUGGAUAUGUGUGGGUACCCUGUCCCACUGAUUCCUGAAGACACAGCAUGCCUACCCUGACUAAUGUAGAGAGGAAGACCAGCUCUGCCAGAGAGCAGUUUCCUUAUCCAUCAAAUAUGAACACAGUACAGUCAACAGCUGCAUACUGUCCUCAUGUGGGAUGUCAACAGUAUAUUGUUUCUUCAUCGUGGCCUCUGUGUAUCACACAUACGGGUUCUGCGCCUGCGCAGUGCCUUUGGCUGAAAGAUUGAUAGCUAACGGUUUGGUGGGAAAAUUCCUCCCCCUCCCCCCUAGCAGUAUAUAUGGAGCAGAGUGUCCGCCAUUUUCCAGUCUUUGCGACUGCCGUUUGUUGUGCCUCGUGCCACUUCGCUCUCGCUUAGAUCGUUCCUCGUGCUCUCUUGCUUCGAACUCUUCUUCUCUUUUUCCAAGUUAGUAUCCCUAGUUAUAUUGCUCUUAUUGUUCCAGUUACUCUCUCCGUUUUUUCUUGUUCUUCUUGUUCCUAUA